GACGUAGGGUGCGAGCGUUGUCCGGAUUUAUUGGGCGUAAAGAGCUCGUAGGCGGUGUGUCGCGUCGGCCGUGAAAACCUGCAGCUUAACUGUGGGCGUGCGGUCGAUACGGGCAUCACUGGAGUUCGGCAGGGGAGACUGGAAUUCCUGGUGUAGCGGUGAAAUGCGCAGAUAUCAGGAGGAACACCGGUGGCGAAGGCGGUUCUCUGGGCAUUACCUGACGCUGAGGAGCGAAAGUGUGGGGAGCGAACAGG
rnacentral:rRNA from 1 species